AAUACGUUCCCGGGCCUUGUACACACCGCCCGUCAAGCCAUGAAAGCUGGGAGUACUUAAAGUAGGUUGCCGCAAGGCGCCUCCUAGAGUAAAACCGGUGAUUGGGGCU
rnacentral:rRNA from 1 species